rnacentral:rRNA from 1 species
UCGCCGCCGACGACGUCGCGAGAAGUCCACUGAACCUUAUCAUUUAGAGGAAGGAGAAGUCGUAACAAGGUUUCCGUAGGUGAACCUGCGGAAGGAUCAUUGUCGAUGCCUGCAACGCAGAACGACCCGCGAACCGUUCUUCAACACUCGGGACGCCGGAUGGCCCAUUCGGCUGCCCGGCAUCCCGACGCUUCGGACGCGGGGGGUGCGAGCCACUCCCGGCGGACGGAGCAUCAAACACACCCCGGCGUGCAAAGCGCCAAGGUACUCAAACGGUAGGGCAAGCACCCGUCGGCCUGGGUUUCCAGCGCCGGUCGGGUGUCUGUUUCGGUGCAGUAAAUCUAAACGACUCUCGGCAACGGAUAUCUCGGCUCUCGCAUCGAUGAAGAACGUAGCGAAAUGCGAUACUUGGUGUGAAUUGCAGAAUCCCGUGAACCAUCGAGUCUUUGAACGCAAGUUGCGCCCGAAGCCUUGGGUGAGGGCACGCCUGCCUGGGUGUCACACGUCGCGUCGCCUCCGAAACCUUUCCCCUCGUAACACCGUGGCGAUGGUUCCGGAUGCGGAAGAUGGCCUCCCGUGACCACGAGCCACGGAAGGCCCAAGUUUUUGCUGGGGAAGCGAAGCACCACGGCUUUCGGUGGUCGGAACAGCCCCUGAGGCGAUGAACGAACGAAGCCCGUGGCUGCCGCUACGGUCCCCGGUCCACGACCCCAAUCACUAACCAACGCGACCUCUGAUCAGGCGGGGCUACCCGCUGAG